UACGUAGGUGGCAAGCGUUGUUCGGAAUUACUGGGCGUAAAGGGCGCGUAGGCGGGAUGGCAAGUCGGUAGUGAAAUCCCUCGGCUCAACUGAGGAUCGUCGAUCGAUACUGCCGUUCUUGAGGAUUGCAGAGGAGACUGGAAUUCCCGGUGUAGCGGUGAAAUGUGUAGAGAUCGGGAGGAACACCGGUGGCGAAGGCGGGUCUCUGGGCAAUUCCUGACGCUGAGGCGCGAAAGCCAGGGGAGCAAACGGG
rnacentral:rRNA from 1 species